rnacentral:lncRNA from 1 species
UUUAAUUAAUUGAAUGAUUACAUUGAUUUGAUAAUCAUCUUCCCCUAAUCUCCCUCUACUCCUUCAACUGAUUCUAGGCGACGGUUAAGUCGCAAAAUCCUAGAAUCUUCCCUUUUCCGGUUCAUAUUCCCGCAACUGGCUGUGGAAAUCAGUACCCAACUGGAGAUUUAACAUAUCUGACCACAACUAGCCUGGGGUCAUGGCUCCGUCACUGAUUACAUUGGGCGAUUUUCAACAUGCAUGGUAUCAAAGCACACAUAGAAAUUUAGAGAAGAAUCAGAGGUUGAAGAAGGUGCAAUUUAAACAAAGGAGAAUGUCUUUAAUGGUAACAAUGUAUGGCUUUAGCGAGCGCAAGUGUUGCAACAAUGGGAAUAAUUUUUUGCUCAUUAAUACACUCUUGUUCAGACAAAGUUUGUAUUUCUAUUACAAGUAGAAGGUUUUCAACCGCCCAGUGCGGUUCUUGGUCAGUAGUUGAACCGAGUUAAACCUAAUUAACUCUUUUAGCUUUCUAUUUAAUUAUGUUUUUCUUUAAACUUUUGUUAACUUUUUUUCUUCAAUAAUCCAAGUACCUUAACAAAAAAAAGAUCUAUUGCCGUUUGAGGAUCAUAAUAUAAAUUACCCA